GAUGAAGAACGUAGCGAAAUGCGAUAAGUAAUGUGAAUUGCAGAAUUCAGUGAAUCAUCGAAUCUUUGAACGCACAUUGCGCCCGCCAGUAUUCUGGCGGGCAUGCCUGUUCGAGCGUCAUUUCAACCAUCAAGCCCCCGGCUUGUGUUGGGGACCUGCGGCUGCCGCAGGCCCUGAAAUGCAGUGGCGGGCUCGCUGUCACUCCGAGCGUAGUAGUUACAUCUCGCUCUGGGCGUGCUGCGGGUUCCGGCCGUUAAAAGCCUUAUUUACCCAAGGUUGACCUCGGAUCAGGUAGGAAGACCCGCUGAACUUAAGCAUUCAAUAAGCGGAGGA
rnacentral:misc_RNA from 1 species